ACCGGGGGCGCCCCGAGCCCGGGCCUCACAAAGGGAGCGGGAGGCCGGAGCCUCGGGCCUCCUGGGCGGCCGCUCUCCUGCGGAGUCGAAGCCGGGAACCGAACCCUCGCCCGAUGCGGUGGCGGAGGUGCAGACUGAAAUCGGGAGACUAGUUUUCACUUGGGCUCUGAUGCUACUUUGCGUUAUGAAAUAAAACUUAGCUGAGAGUUGGAGGGAAGGGGGUUGGUCUAAUGAGCUUGAACGGACACCGCAGUUCCUCUCUCCUUCCUCCUGCAGACACACAGGCGCAAGCUGUGCGGCAGUUUGUCACCUGUCUUUCCUGCUGAUAAUUUGGGACUGAGACCCAAAUAGGAGAAGUAACAAGGGAAGUGAAGAGAGAUCCGGAGGGGAACGCGCACUUGGAUAGGGGUCUGCACGUCUGGACCCGGCUUUCCCCACCCCACCCACUCCCCGUGAUUUCCCGUUCCCCCCUCGCGGAACUGCUGAGCGGACGCAAAGACGGGUCUAGGAGGCAUGAAACGGCCUGGAAGCUAUCGAGUCUCUACAGAUCCAAGAUAUCUAUGGGCACAUGCGCAGAAUCGUGUGUGUAGAAGAUUCCUCACUGAAGCACUACUCGUGGUAGCAAAAGAUUGGAAACAGCCCAUCAAGAAUGUCCAUCAUGAAUGACUGAUCAUAUGAAUUAUAAUAAAU